rnacentral:rRNA from 1 species
UACACUCCUACGGGAGGCAGCAGUGGGGAAUAUUGCACAAUGGGCGCAAGCCUGAUGCAGCCAUGCCGCGUGUAUGAAGAAGGCCUUCGGGUUGUAAAGUACUUUCAGCGGGGAGGAAGGCGAUAAGGUUAAUAACCUUGUCGAUUGACGUUACCCGCAGAAGAAGCACCGGCUAACUCCGUGCCAGCAGCCGCGGUAAUACGGAGGGUGCAAGCGUUAAUCGGAAUUACUGGGCGUAAAGCGCACGCAGGCGGUCUGUCAAGUCGGAUGUGAAAUCCCCGGGCUCAACCUGGGAACUGCAUUCGAAACUGGCAGGCUAGAGUCUUGUAGAGGGGGGUAGAAUUCCAGGUGUAGCGGUGAAAUGCGUAGAGAUCUGGAGGAAUACCGGUGGCGAAGGCGGCCCCCUGGACAAAGACUGACGCUCAGGUGCGAAAGCGUGGGGAGCAAACAGGAUUAGAAACCCCGGUAGUCCCAUG